GCUUGUUCGUUCCGCGCAGCCGCAGCCAGAACCGGGUGACGCUUAUCCCCGCUGUCUUUCCAGUCCAGGGCCGCUGAGAGUGGGGGUGGCUGGGAGCAGCGCAGCCUCCGGAGGAGGAGGCGGAGGCCGAGGUGAGACCAGGAAUCACCUUCAAGCCUAUGUCGUGAGGCUUUGGCAGAAAUUAAGAAGGAAAUAUCUCCAUUGUUCAUUGGCAUGGAAAAAUGUUCAGUGGGAGGAUUAGAGUUGACUGAACAGACUCCUGCUUUAUUAGGGAAUAUGGCCAUGGCAACUAGUCUCAUGGACAUAGGGGAUUCAUUUGGUCAUCCAGCUUGUCCUUUAGUCAGUAGAUCUAGGAACUCACCAGUGGAAGAUGAUGAUGAUGAUGAUGAUGUUGUGUUUAUUGAAUCUAUACAACCUCCUUCAAUUUCUGCUCCAGCAAUAGCUGAUCAAAGAAACUUCAUAUUUGCAUCAUCAAAAAAUGAAAAGCCUCAAGGAAAUUAUUCUGUAAUUCCUCCUUCUUCAAGAGAUUUGGCAUCUCAGAAAGGAAAUAUAAGUGAGACAAUUGUUAUUGAUGAUGAAGAGGACAUAGAAACAAAUGGAGGAGCAGAGAAAAAGUCUUCCUGUUUUAUCGAAUGGGGACUUCCUGGAACUAAAAACAAAACCAACGAUUUGGAUUUCUCCACUUCCAGUCUUUCAAGAAGUAAGACCAAGACUGGAGUAAGACCUUUUAACCCUGGUAGAAUGAAUGUGGCAGGAGACUUAUUUCAGAAUGGAGAAUUUGCAACUCAUCAUAGUCCUGAUUCUUGGAUCUCCCAGUCAGCUUCAUUUCCCAGUAAUCAGAAACAGCCAGGGGUGGAUUCUUUAUCACCAGUGGCCUUACUUCGUAAGCAGAAUUUCCAGCCUACAGCCCAACAACAACUUACUAAACCAGCUAAAAUCACUUGUGCAAAUUGCAAAAAGCCUUUACAGAAGGGACAGACAGCUUAUCAACGAAAAGGAUCAGCUCACCUCUUUUGCUCUACCACCUGCCUUUCUUCCUUCUCUCAUAAACGUACUCAAAACACACGAAGCAUAAUAUGUAAAAAAGAUGCAUCUACAAAGAAGGCUAAUGUCAUUCUUCCAGUAGAAUCAAGCAAAUCCUUCCAAGAAUUUUAUAGUACAUCUUGUUUGUCUCCCUGUGAAAACAACUGGAAUCUUAAAAAAGGAGUUUUUAAUAAGUCAAGAUGUACAAUUUGUAGUAAAUUAGCAGAGGUCUGGAUUUUUAUACCUAAGUUGUUGUUUAGGCUAACAGUGAUAAUUUUAACUUUUAAGUGCUAUUAUGUACUCUUUCAUCUACAUAAUGCACGUGUUCUGGAUGUAUAACAUGAAGCUGAAAGGAAGAAUAAGGAUAUGUUAGAACUAUCUUAUGGGAUAUUUUAUAAAUAAAAUUCCAUUUGCAUAGCA
rnacentral:lncRNA from 1 species